UACGUAGGGUGCGAGCGUUAAUCGGAAUUACUGGGCGUAAAGCGUGCGCAGGCGGUUUUGUAAGCCAGAUGUGAAAUCCCCGGGCUCAACCUGGGAAUGGCAUUUGGGACUGCAAGGCUGGAGUACGGCAGAGGAGACUGGAAUUCCUGGUGUAGCAGUGAAAUGCGUAGAUAUCAGGAGGAAUACCGAUGGCGAAGGCAGGUCUCUGGGCUGAUACUGACGCUCAUGCACGAAAGCGUGGGAGCAACAGG
rnacentral:rRNA from 1 species